AAUAAACCAAUUUUUUAUUUUUUACCUUUAAUUUUUAACUAUUCGUUUUAUUAAAAAAAUUUUGCGAUUGAUAUUUUUGUUUUUAUUAGAUGAUAAAUCAUAAAUAAUACUUUAUGUAUGACUAAUUUUUUUUCUAAUUUUCUAAAAUAUUUUAAAUAAGACGGAUGGUCGAACGUUGGACACGGAAAACCGGAG
rnacentral:pre_miRNA from 1 species